CGGGACUCGUGUGGUGGCCUAGCUCGUAACAGAUGCGACUUGUCAAACUGGAUGGAAGAGUAUAUCCUGCUCAUAUACAUGUCAAGGGAGCCCGCCUGAAAACAACAACAUCCCCUAACAAUAUUAAAGCAUAUGCGUGCUUAGCUGACUGUAGAUCAGCUGGUAACUUAUGGAUCCAACGUGCAGCUUUGAGCUAACGUUAACGUUACCAGAACACAUACUGUAGAUUUUGUCCCCCAUCUCCCACAUUGCAAUCACAAAAGGAUCUCUUUACACUCAGUGUGGCCAGGAGGAACAAUUACAGUGACCAAUAACUCUUUCAAUGUACAAAUGGGCAUACGCCACAGUGAGGCCGUUUGCUGACGACUUCCACAGGCAGACGAGAAGGAAUCCUGAACAUCAUUUGAAUGAAUCUCCAAGAAAGAUUUUCAUUUAUCAUCUGCUGCAGCGCAAGACUUGUUUCACAGCUGUGACACUGAAGCCCUUAGACUUCAUCUUAACCUUAAUGUCCUCUUGAGUCUGUUUAAAUGGAGUCUUCAUCAGAUAGACUAUCCUCCUGAAACCUUCCUCUAG